rnacentral:rRNA from 1 species
GACGGAGGGGGCUAGCGUUGUUCGGAAUUACUGGGCGUAAAGGGCGCGUAGGCGGUUUUGUGUGUCAGAGGUGAAAUCCCCGAGCUUAACUUGGGAAUUGCCUUUGAAACUGCAAGGCUAGAGAUAUGGAGAGGCAAGCGGAAUUCCGAGUGUAGCAGUGAAAUGCGUAGAUAUUCGGAGGAACACCGGUGGCGAAGGCGGCUUGCUGGCCAUAUACUGACGCUGAGGCGCGAAAGCACGGGGAGCAAACAGG